rnacentral:rRNA from 1 species
AUUGAACGCUGGCGGCAGGCCUAACACAUGCAAGUCGAGCGAGCGGCGGACGGGUGAGUAAUGUAUGGGGAACUGCCUGAUAGAGGGGGAUAACUACUGGAAACGGUAGCUAAUACCGCAUACUAUCGGAUGUGCCCAUAUGGGAUUAGCUAGUUGGUGGGGUAAAGGCUCACCUAGGCGACGAUCCCUAGCUGGUCUGAGAGGAUGAUCAGCCACACGGGGACUGAGACACGGCCCAGACGCCUACGGGAGGCAGCAGUGGGGAAUAUUGCACAAUGGGCGCAAGCCUGAUGCAGCCAUGCCGCGUGUAUGAAGAAGGCCUUAGGGUUGUAAAGUACUUUCAGCGGGGAGGCGUUACCCGCAGAAGAAGCACCGGCUAACUCCGUGCCAGCAGCCGCGGUAAUAC